rnacentral:rRNA from 1 species
AUUGAACGCUGGCGGCAUGCCUUACACAUGCAAGUCGAACGGUAACAGGUCUUCGGAUGCUGACGAGUGGCGAACGGGUGAGUAAUACAUCGGAACGUGCCCGAGAGUGGGGGAUAACGAAGCGAAAGCUUUGCUAAUACCGCAUACGAUCUCAGGAUGAAAGCAGGGGACCGCAAGGCCUUGCGCUCACGGAGCGGCCGAUGGCAGAUUAGGUAGUUGGUGGGAUAAAAGCUUACCAAGCCGACGAUCUGUAGCUGGUCUGAGAGGACGACCAGCCACACUGGGACUGAGACACGGCCCAGACUCCUACGGGAGGCAGCAGUGGGGAAUUUUGGACAAUGGGCGCAAGCCUGAUCCAGCCAUGCCGCGUGCAGGAUGAAGGCCUUCGGGUUGUAAACUGCGUUUGUACGGAACGAAAAGACUCCUUCUAAUAAAGGGGGUCCAUGACGGUACCGUAAGAAUAAGCACCGGCUAACUACGUGCCAGCCGCCGCGGUAAGAC